GCGGACGGGUGAGGAUACGUAGGGAUCUGCCUUUAAGUGGGGGAUAACCCGGGGAAACCCGGAUUAAUACCGCAUGAUCUCGCAAGAGCAAAGUGGGGGAUCGCAAGACCUCACGCUUUUAGAGGAACCUACGUCGGAUUAGCUUGUUGGUGAGGUAAUGGCUCACCAAGGCGACGAUCCGUAACUGGUCUGAGAGGAUGAUCAGUCACACCGGAACUGAGACACGGUCCGGACUCCUACGGGAGGCAGCAGUGGGGAAUAUUGGACAAUGGGCGAAAGCCUGAUCCAGCAAUACCGCGUGUGAAGAAGGCCUUCGGGUUGUAAAGCACUUUAAGUUGGGAAGAAAAAACUUCAAUUAAUACUUGAAGUCUUGACGGUACCGACAGAAUAAGCACCGGCUAACUCUGUGCCAGCAGCCGCGGUAAUACAGAGGGUGCUAGCGUUAAUCGGAUUUACUGGGCGUAAAGCGUGCGUAGGCGGUUUGAUAAGUCGGUUGUGAAAGCCCCGGGCUCAACCUGGGAAUUGCGGCCGAUACUGUCAGACUAGAAAACGGUAGAGGGAGGCGGAACUCCAGGUGUAGCGGUGAAAUGCGUAGAUAUCUGGAAGAACACCGAUGGCGAAGGCAACCUCCUGGGCCUGUUUUGACGCUGAGGCACGAAAGCGUGGGUAGCAAACAGGAUUAGAUACCCUGGUAGUCCACGCCGUAAACGAUGAGAACUUGACGUUGGUUUGCUUAGCAAAUCGGUGUCGUAGCUAACGCGAUAAGUUCUCCGCCUGGGGAGUACGGCCGCAAGGUUGAAACUCAAAGGAAUUGACGGGGGCCCGCACAAGCGGUGGAGUAUGUGGUUUAAUUCGAUGCAACGCGAAGAACCUUACCUGGUCUUGACAUGUCAAGAAGUCUGCAGAGAUGCGGAUGCGCCUUCGGGAACUUGAACACAGGUGCUGCAUGGCUGUCGUCAGCUCGUGUCGUGAGAUGUUGGGUUAAGUCC
rnacentral:rRNA from 1 species